GUAGGGAAUAUUGGACAAUGGGCGAAAGCCUGAUCCAGCAAUGCCGCGUGAGUGAUGAAGGCCUUAGGGUUGUAAAGCUCUUUUACCAGGGAUGAUAAUGACAGUACCUGGAGAAUAAGCUCCGGCUAACUCCGUGCCAGCAGCCGCGGUAAUACGGAGGGAGCUAGCGUUGUUCGGAAUUACUGGGCGUAAAGCGCGCGUAGGCGGCGAUUUAAGUCAGAGGUGAAAGCCCGGGGCUCAACCCCGGAAUAGCCUUUGAGACUGGAUUGCUAGAAUCCUGGAGAGGUGAGUGGAAUUCCGAGUGUAGAGGUGAAAUUCGUAGAUAUUCGGAAGAACACCAGUGGCGAAGGCGGCUCACUGGACAGGUAUUGACGCUGAGGUGCGAAAGCGUGGGGAGCAAACAGGAUUAGAAACCCCGGUAGUCC
rnacentral:rRNA from 1 species